CAGCCUCAGCUCUAGAGCUGCCUGACUUUGCAACCUCCAUGUCCCUGUGCUAGUUACAGGCCAAAGACAGGGCGCCACCCGGGCUGCGUGGCUACAAGGGGGGGCCAGCGGGUUGAACUACAGCUCCCAGAAGGCUUUGGAGGACGGCCCCGCGGAGGAGCCAAUCAGAACGUCGCCGCUGGCAGGGCCGACCCUUAAAAGCCGCGUAUCCGGAGCGCUUCGCCCUUUCUNUCGCCCUUUCCCGUGGCGGUCCGCGGCUGGGAGUGUGCGGGGGCAGAUCGCUCGGAUCUCACCUGGUGUCUGUGCAUGGGCUGGGACAGAGCCUUGAGAUGCUGGAACCAUUCAAACAUGAGCCUGGCAUUGUUUCCUUGCUUUCCCCACAGGGUGAGGAGCUGGUGCCCCUGUCCUGGAGAUUGCGGCGGAGUCCAGCAGGGCUGGUCUGCAGGCGCCCUUCAGAACCCAGACAGUUGCUGAGGUCUCUCGCUUGCUGGAUGGAAUGAAGUGGGCACACAGCAGCUAUUGUGCAAGGAAUCUCUUGCUAAGUGAAAGAAGCUGAUGCUGCCAAGGCGAACUAAUGGACUGGCCAGUAAGUCUUGCCACCUAGCGGAACAUGAUGGUGUCUCCCAAGGGGCUGGAACUCCGGAAAGACCCAUGGAUGGGCAAAGUAAGCUUCCAAAUAACUGAGCUAAAGAGCCACUGAGCUAGUAAUUCUCAUGUUUGCCAACCCUGACAACUAACUCAAUGGAAUCUGUUCUGCAUCUGAUUUGACUCUGAACUGGUAUUAAAACAUGAUGUGCAUGCACCCCAUAUAUGAAAUGGCAACAGCUUCAAAAACCUUGAUCGUUAACUUGCCUCCUGGGGCUGAUGUCCCUGGGGCCUGUGGCAUCUUAAAUGACCUUUAACGAUCACCAUCUGAACAGUACAAGGACUUCUGAAAUUAACUGCAUCUGUAAACAGAUUCCAGGUUGCAGUCCUGCAAGCUGUAAUACAAAUCCUCAGCUGAUGUAAAUCAGCUUAGCACUAUUGACAUUCAUGUAAAACUCAAGUUUCCACCAGCUGAGGAUCUGGCCCCAUAUCUCAGGGAGUAGGACUGCUCUACUCAGAGCACUGGUGGCUGCUUUACAAUGUUCCAGAAGACCCUUUUUACCAGCUAUACUUAAAUUGCAUAGAGAAGGCUCUGGCACUGGGGAGGUGGGUUUUUUUUCUCUGCAACCAUAAGAGCUAGAAAUGUCACCCUGUGACUAGCUUUAUUUUUGCAGAAACUACACCCAACACUUCCUGUUAGCCUCUCACUGUACAGCCACAGACAGACCUCUGUUUGACUCUGCCUGGUCAGUGAUGACUCCUUUUUAAAUGGUGACUGUUGGAUGAAUCCUGCGGAUAUGGGGCUGAGGCCAGGCACCCAUCAUAAACAGAGCCCACUUGUUCUGUUAAAAAUCACUACCUGGUGAGUUGGGUCUAGCAGGGAGUCAGGCUACAAGCUUCAUCCUAUAGCUACCUAUCUGUUUUUAUUUUAUUUCCAGAUGAAAGUGGAACAGAGCUGAGAAACUUGAGCUGGGACUGGACUGUCCCCUCCAACUUUCAGUCCCUCUUAAAAGCAAUGUUUCUGCUUCCUAAAGAGAACAUUGUCCUGCACAGGGAAAAGGAAUUUUCUUACCUUGAUCUGCCUGUCCUUAGGCUGCAAGCUCUGCAGGGCAGGGCGCAUCCCUUCUCUUGCGUAUGAAAAUCGCCUCAUACUACUCACAUCAUGAGAAAUUGUUUACAGGUUCAGCUGCAUCUGUAUAAGUACACAACACAAGGACUGUUCUUUCCGGAGCUUGUGUUCUUAGUAAAAACUCACCUGUGUAGGGAAUCUGGAAAUAAAACAUCAGGAAACAAUAAAUGUAGCA
ensembl:lncRNA